UGGUGGUGGUGGUGGUGGAUGUGGUGGUGGUGGUGGUGCGGCGGUGUCGAGGUGCGCCUGUUCGGCGAAUGUUUCUCUCGGGCGGUCGUUGCUAUGUAGUACCGGCGUAAAUGAAGCGGCGGCGUAUAGCGCGCUCGCGUGCUAAGGGGGUACCGCCUGCGGGGGCGAUGAGAAUGGCGCGCAAAUGUUGCGUGCCCAACUGCAAGAUCGACGUUCAGGAGGCACGCACCAAGGGUCUGCCGCUUCAUAAAUUUCCGAAGGACGCUGUACUUAGAGGCAGGUGGUUGACGAGCGGUGGUUUCGAGACGAGAUUCAAGCCGACGCCCGGUCAAGUCGUCUGCCACAGACAUUUUAAACGUGCCGACUACGAAGCCGCCAAUAAAACUAACAAGCUAGCAUUGAAGAAAGGCAGCGUUCCCUCGGUCUUUGCGAACUAUGACAACCAUCCAGAUCCAGUAAUCAUGUCAGUAAAGACCUCUACUUCUUAUGCGCAAGAAGAUCUGGAUUUAAUUAAUGCGGAAAUUUUAAAUAUGAGACAUUCUCCUUUAAUAUCCGAAGAUAGAACUCCAAAGUCUGACAGUUGCGGUGAAACCUGUUAUUCCAGACCAGAAUCAUCUGCCGAUUCAAUUAAUUUAUUGGAGACGUCUGAUUUAAUGGACCAGAGAUGCAAGUUAUCUGCGGGAAGGAAUUCGAGUAUUAUAAAAGAAGGAACUCUUAAUGGCACAGAAAUAAAAGCAAACAAUAUGGCGAUUCAGUCGGGUAUAGUUGAAUCUGAGAAAAAGGUGCAACAUGUUUCCAAAGAUGUAAACCCGAAAACAGAAGUAAAUGGCUUUAAAAAAGCAAAUGAGAAAGAAUUUGACAAGGGAAACAAUGUGAAAAGCAAAACGUUAAAUCGUGAUAGUUUAAAAUUCUUCCCUGGUGCCAAAUUGGAAGCAAAGGACUUCAACGAAAAGUGGUAUUCUGCUAAAGUAGUGGAAACAGAUUGGGUAGAGAGAGAAGUAUUGAUACAUUUUCAUAAGUGGAGUGCAAGAUUUGAUGAGUGGAUACCAAUGGAUAGUUCGAGACUACGUGUAUUACAAACAGAAACAAACGAGCAAUCUUGGGUGCAGCCAUCUUCGGAGACGAAUAUGAAAGAGUUCUCGGUCGGAGAAAGGAUCUUAGCUACGUGGGCGGAUGGCAGAAAAUAUCCCGCUAAAGUAAACGCCGUCUUAGGGAAUGACAGGUAUGAUGUGCUCUUUGAUGAUGGAUAUGCAAAGAUUGUCAGAUCCUCGAAGAUGACUAAAAUUGCCACUCCGCCCGAAACGCAAGCAGUUAAAGAAGACGGAUACAUAGGAAGUAAACAAGAGAGGAGGGACAAGAAAAGAAAGCAUACAGUUAUGGAGCUUUUCCAUACUCAUUCUAGGAAACGUUCCAAAAAUGAAAGUGAUAAAACAAUAAAGAAAGAAGAAUCCGUUGUUCGAAAUAACGUAGAAAGUUUCCCAGAACCUAAGAUUGAUUUGGAUGGUACCCUAUUUGGGCCCUGCUAUGAUCCUGGUACUGAUUUAUUAAAAGGAUUUAAUGCAAAUGUGCCUAAAACGAAAUCAUUACCGAAAAAGGCCAAAAAAGAAACGCAUAAAUCUGACACGGAGCAAGAAGAAUAUGUUGGUCCAGCAUGGGUUGAUGGUGAACCGCAAGGAAUUGAAUCUUACAUUGUAGAUGGAAACGAUGGGCCACGCCGUUCUAUUAUUGUACCUGAUAAAAGAUUACCACCGGGCUGGCAGAAGCACUUUACUCAAAGAAAAGCUGGCACGUCUGCGGGAAAAUGGGAUGUUUUAUUUAUACAUAAAUCGAGCGGAAAGAAAUUUAGAUCAAGGAACGAUAUUAGGACGUUUAUGGAAAGCCAAGGACAGUUUGACUUUGAUCCGGAGAAAUUUGACUUUUGUAUUCACCGUAAGAAAAAGAAUCACGGACAAAAGUUAAAGCAAGAUGUUCCUACGCCAGAAAUACCAAAGAAGAUAAAAACAUUGUUGCCUAAAGUAAAAACGCCAACUUCUAAUGAAACUACAUUACUUAUGUCAAUUAACACGACGCCCGUUAAUACACCAGUUGCAUCCGCAGGAACUACUGGAACUUCUGUUAAUAACGGCGGAAUGAUUUAUUCAGCCGUUUUCAUCGGCGGUCUUCGAGUGGAGAUGGAAGAUAGUGCUUAUAAAUGUCCUAAACAAGGAUGUAAUAAAACUUUUCGGAAAGAAAAUCUUUUGCAAAUGCACAUAAAACAUUAUCAUCCUGAAUAUUCGAAAUUUUUGGGAUCCACACCAAAUGUUGCAGAUUUGGCAUAUGCAAGAACGAUCGGGGAGUCUAUUGACGACAUUAUUCCAAAGAAAUCAACUCCUUUAUUGGAAAAAAUUCAUAAAUUUGGGAAAAAGAAGGCUCAAGAAAGAUCACCAGUGCCCACGUCGCAAUUAAGAUUAAAUUUUGUACAGCCUUCUUCCCCAUCCGUAUCGUUACCAACGUUCGAGGAACGAGAAGAUGAAGUUGACCAAUUAGAGAAAGUAAAUGAACUUCAUAAAGAAGAUAUUAAAAUAGAAACCAUGUCACCUAUUUCAAGUCAUAGUAUUGAAAUAGAUGAGGAAGUUGAAAAAAGGAAAGAAAAUUCAUGUGCGAUGUCACCAGGGACACUGUUUGAUAUGAAAAUAAGAGAAGAGAAACCGGAGAAAGUUGGAAUUAAAACAUUAUUACCCGUCCGUCCACCUGUAACACCGGAAAUACAAAGGGUGGAUAGAUCGAAAUCUUUAGACGAUUCUAUGCAUAUUGAAAGGGGUAAAGGUCAGAGAAAACGUCAACUAUCGGAAUAUAGUUCUGAUGUACCGUCUAAAGGGAAAAGGCGACAUGGUAUGCAAGACAUUGUAGACGAUUAUGGAGAUCUAGAUGACAGUGCUGUAGAUGCAGAAGGCCCUACCGCUCUCAUAUAUAGAUACAGUCGUAGGAAAUCUGACUCCAAAAGCGAUGAAAAUAGUCAGAAUAGUCAACUUAAUGAUUCUCGCCUUGAGAAAGGCGACCCCUUUAAAGGGGAUUCUGCAAAAAGAGAUAAUAGUAAUGAUGCAGAAGAAAGCGAAGGAGUUAUGAUGAUGAUCAAUGGAGAAAUGGUAAAAGUGGAGCAGCUCCGACGAGAAGAAAUAAUUAAUUGUACCUGUGGCUAUAUGGAAGAAGAUGGUUUAAUGAUACAAUGUGACCUUUGUUUGUGUUGGCAACAUGGUCACUGUAAUGCCAUUGAAAAAGAAAAAGAUGUUCCAGAAAAGUAUGUUUGUUAUAUAUGCCGACACCCUUAUCGUGAACGGCCUUCAAAAAAAUAUUAUCACGAUCAAGAUUGGAUAAAGGAAGGCAAAUUGCCAAGCUUAUCUACUCGAACGAAGAAUCAAAAUGCAAUUAAUAAAAGAACUGCAAUAUUAAAGCGUUCGUACGAUUUAGUUGCGGCCUUACUGCAAAUGCAGCAAAUUCUCCAUAGUCUGAGGGUGAAAAUUAAUGUAGCUCAGAAAAAAGAUCAUCCGAAAUUAUAUCUUUGGGCUAAAAAUUGGGAAAAAUUGGAUGUACCCAAGCCUGAUAUGGAACCUGUUCCAAUAAUAGAAGUAAUGAAAAUGCCUAUAGAUUCUACCGACACAAGUUCUGAAACCUCUAGACGUACGGACAUAAAAAUAGAAACGAAAACGUCGGUAAAGGAUGAUCACGAUGACAAAUCUAUAGCUUCUGAUUCGGAAUUAAUGAAAAUUUUAGAAGAAGAUAGCUCGAAUUCAGAUGAAUCGAAAGUUAUGUGUAAAAAAGAGGAUACGAUAAAUUCAAACGGCGGUCAUAUAUUAUUAGACGCAUUAACAAGAAAUGGAAGUCCGGACGAAAAGCAGAAGUUAAAGCUUGAAAAUCCAAUAGAAAAUAUAAAUACAAAUGGUUCGGAAGAUAACAGAUCGAUCUCUGGAUUAUUUGGGGAUAAUAUUCAUGGUGAAACUAAUGUACCUGAAAUUGGACAGGAAUUGUCAACUCCAUUACAACCAUUUAUACCAGAACCAGAAGCACCAAUUGAUUCGGCCGAAUGUCGAAUGAGAUUACUGGAACAUAUCGAACAUUUCCAGAGUCACAUAGACUCGAGACUAGUAUCUAUAGAAGCUCAAGUUUGUGCUUUGGAAGCCAUGGAUCCUGACGAGAUAAUACCUAGUCCGGAUGUGCAACCUCGUACGAAGCAAACAGUACAAAUGUUGCUUAGAGAUUUGAAUACAGUUCGUAAAUUGGCUGCUUUAUGUUAAAGCAUUCGUUUGUACAAAUAUGAUGUCAUAAGAAUUACUUUUUCGUUGAAAGCGUAAUUGCACAAUAAAAUUGCUUUAACCAAUAUAUAGUUAUUAUAUAUAUAUAUAACGUUGCCGAGUGUCAGAAUCGAACAAAUGUGAUGUGAAAUACAAUUUAAGCUACAAUUUCAUAAAUUCGUACGUAAUACAUUAAUGUCGUUUUAUGUAUUUGCAUAUUUAAUAGAAAAGUAAAUUGUUAUGAUCAUAGAUCAAUAUAAAAAGAAAAAGAAAAAGAAACAAAUUAAGUUUCUAAUAUAAUUCUAAUAUAAUAACAUAAACGAUAAUAUAAUUAUGUUUAAUGAUGUUAAUUUCUACGGAAUUAAUUUCGUAUUUCUUACGACAAUUAUUGUAUCAUUCCGAUCGUAUUAUUAUUAUAUCGGAAGAAAUUACAGGAUAUUUUUUCAGGGUAAAUAUCAAAAUAUUUACAUGCAUAGUUGAAUAGAAAACAAUGUGAUCUUAACGCAUGGACAGAUAGAAAAUAAUUAAGUAAAAUAUUAUAUGAUUGUUACAUAA